UCGGGAAUUUUGGGCAAUGGGGGGAAACCCUGACCCAGCAACGCCGCGUGAAGGAUGAAGUAUUUCGGUAUGUAAACUUCGAAAGAAUAGGAAGGAUAAAUGACGGUACUAUUUAUAAGGUCCGGCUAACUACGUGCCAGCAGCCGCGGUAAUACGUAGGGACCAAGCGUUGUUCGGAUUUACUGGGCGUAAAGGGCGCGUAGGCGGCAUGACAAGUCACUUGUGAAAUCUCUGGGCUUAACCCAGAACGGCCAAGUGAUACUGUCGCGCUAGAGUGCAGAAGGGGCAAUCGGAAUUCUUGGUGUAGCGGUGAAAUGCGUAGAUAUCAAGAGGAACACCUGAGGUGAAGACGGGUUGCUGGGCUGACACUGACGCUGAGGCGCGAAAGCCAGGGGAGCAAACGGGAUUAGAUACCCACGUAGUCCCUGAGCGGGCUGGCAAGGCG
rnacentral:rRNA from 1 species